rnacentral:rRNA from 1 species
UGAUGACGAGACGCUAAGGCGUUGAAGCAGUGUAUGUCAGACUUCCAAGAAAAGCUCGCAAUGUCACAAAUAAAAGAUGCCUGUACCAUAACCGACACAGGUGGGUAGGUAGAGUAUACUAAGGGGCGCGAGAUAACUCUCUCUAAGGAACUCGGCAAAAUGACUCCGUAACUUCGGGAGAAGGAGUGCCUUAUUUAUAAGGUUGCAAUAACAAGAUCCAAGCAACUGUUUAUCAAAAACACAGGUCUCCGCUAAGUCGUAAGACGAUGUAUGGGGGCUGACGCCUGCCCAGUGCAGAAGGUUAAAGAAGUUGGUUAGUGUAUGCGAAGCUGAUGACUGAAGCCCUGGUGAACGGCGGCCGUAACAAUAACGGUCCUAAGGUAGCGAAAUUCCUUGUCGGGUAAGUUCCGACCCGCACGAAAGGCGUAAUGAUUUGGAUACUGUCUCGGAGAGAGGCUCGGUGAAAUAGACUUGUCUGUGAAGAUGCGGACUACCUGCACCAGGACAGAAAGACCCUAUGAAGCUUUACUGUAACUUGAAAUUGGAAUUGGACUUUGCUUGCGCAGUAUAGGUGGGAAGCGUUGAAAAUAUUCUUGCGGGAGUAUUGGAGCUAUCGGUGAGAUACCACUCUUGUAAUGUUAGAUUUCUAACUUUGAACCAUAAUCUGGUCAAAGAACAGUUUCAGGUGGGCAGUUUGACUGGGGCGGUCGCCUCCCAAAUGGUAACGGAGGCGUACAAAGGUUUCCUCUGAACGGAUAGAAAUCGUAUCUAGAGUGUAAAGGCAUAAGGAAGCUUGACUGUGAGACCUACAAGUCGAGCAGGGACGAAAGUCGGUCUUAGUGAUCUGACGGUACUGAGUGGAAAGGCCGUCACUCAACGGAUAAAAGUUACUCUAGGGAUAACAGGCUGAUCUCCCCCAAGAGUUCACAUCGACGGGGAGGUUUGGCACCUCGAUGUCGGCUCAUCGCAUCCUGGGGCGGUAGUACGUCCCAAGGGUUGGGCUGUUCGCCCAUGAAAGCGGUACGCGAGCUGGGUUCAGAACGUCGUGAGACAGUUCGGUCCAUAUCCGGUGUAGGCGCUAGAAUAUUGAGAGGAGCCUUCUUUAGUACGAGAGGACCGAGAAGGACACACCGCUGGUGUACCAGUUAUCGUGCCAACGGUAAACGCUGGGUAGCUAUGUGUGGAGUGGAUAACCGCUGAAAGCAUCUAAGUGGGAAGCCCACCUCGAGAUGAG